rnacentral:rRNA from 1 species
GAUGAACGCUGGCGGCGUGCCUAAUACAUGCAAGUCGAGCGAACGGACGAGAAGCUUGCUUCUCUGAUGUUAGCGGCGGACGGGUGAGUAACACGUGGAUAACCUACCUAUAAGACUGGGAUAACUUCGGGAAACCGGAGCUAAUACCGGAUAAUAUUUUGAACCGCAUGGUUCAAAAGGGAAAGACGGUCUUGCUGUAACUAAUAGAUGGAUCCGCGCUGCAUUAGAUAGUUGGUAAGGUAACGGCUUACCAAGGCAACGAUGCAUAGCCGACCUGAGCGGGUGAUCGGCCACACUGGAACUGAGACACGGUCCAGACUCCUACGGGAGGCAGCAGUAGGGAAUCUUCCGCAAUGGGCGAAAGCCUGACGGAGCAACGCCGCGUGAGUGAUGAAGGUCUUCGGAUCGUAAAACUCUGUUAUUAGGGAAGAACAUAUGUGUAAGUAACUGUGCACAUCUUGACGGUACCUAAUCAGAAAGCCACGGCUAACUACGU